CCUUCCCUCUGCUUCGCGCUGCCCGCCUCCAGCGGCUCUCCCUGGGCCGACCCGGGCCCACCAGAGUUGCACCUGGCUGCCUCCUGACACUCGGUUUCAUUCUGGGACCUCCGGUGACGGUCCACCAACGCGACCGACACAUCUUCAGCUUGUGGCAGGCCCACCCUGGGGACCCGGCGGAAAGUUCCAGCCUUUUCCUACCGUGCUUUCUCCCCAGGGGUUGGUGGGAGGGUUGGGCGGGAGGUAGCAUGUGUGUGCGAGGGUCUGACCUGGAGUGGCAGAGAGGUCUCAGCUGGAGGGAGCAGCUGGGCAAGGAAGGCUUCUCCACCGGCCCAUAAACUUGGCUGAGCCCUAGCAUUAGGAACUAAGAGGACUUUGCAGUGGGAGAAUACAGUGGCCCGGGGCAGGAACAGUGAAUCAUUGGCUAAACUGGCCUUGAAGGUACUGAAAGGAAAUAAAGGGAAGGGAGGCCAACUGUGGCCGAAUGUAGUAGGGCUUGAAGGCCAACCCGACCAGUUUGGUUUUAUUCUGGAAGCAGAGAAGACAGAAACAGUGAAGAUUCGUGAGGAGCCUGCCAUCAGGCUUGUAUGAUCAAAUACCGAUUGAAUGCCUACCAUGUGCAAGACUGUGGGGCCCUUCUCCAUCCUCAUUCCCCAGAAGAUAAGCCACUGAUGUACUUUGAGCAAGGGUUCAGUCUGAAAACCACCAUCCAUGUGAACGCAAACAACUCCGUUCCCGUGAUUAUCUGAGGCUUUAUACGUUUCAGCAGAAAAAUUAAAAGGAACUGGGAUCAAAGAAGCAGGAAUGGCAAUGAGGAAUAUCGGAUAAAGGCAUGCCUGUGUGUGUAUGAGCAGUCCAGUCCUAUAACUACUAUUACUGCACUUCAUGGAUGGGAAGAACUGAAUGAGAAAGGGUGAUGGAUUUUUCUCAAGGUCACAUGGCAAGCAAGGCAGAAGCAAUGCAGGUGUUCCAGGCUGAAGAAAAACUGUGCAUAAAGGGAUGGAAGGAGGAAAGCACAGCACACGUGAUUCUGCUACACGUGAUUCUGCUUGGCCAAACCAUCCGCUGAAUAAGAGACCUUUAUAUGUAAGAAGGUGAAAAAGUUGGUUGGUCCCAAAUUAUUAAGUGGUUUGAAUAAAAGAAUAAGGAGUUUUGUUUGUA